rnacentral:rRNA from 1 species
AGUGAACGCUGGCGGUAGGCCUAACACAUGCAAGUCGAACGGCAGCACAGUAAGAGCUUGCUCUUACGGGUGGCGAGUGGCGGACGGGUGAGGAAUACAUCGGAAUCUACUUUUUCGUGGGGGAUAACGUAGGGAAACUUACGCUAAUACCGCAUCCGACCUACGGGUGAAAGCAGGGGAUCUUCGGACCUUGCGCGAUUGAAUGAGCCGAUGUCGGAUUAGCUGGUUGGCGGGGUAAAGGCCCACCAAGGCGACGAUCCGUAGCUGGUCUGAGAGGAUGGUCAGCCACACUGGAACUGAGACACGGUCCAGACUCCUACGGGAGGCAGCAGUGGGGAAUAUUGGACAAAGGGCGCAAGCCUGAUCCAGCCAUACAACGUGGGUGAAGAAGGCCUGCGGGUUGUAAAGCCCUUUUGUUGGGAAAGAAAAGUAGCAGGUUAAGACCCCGCUGUUCUGACGGUACCCAAAGAAUAAGCACCGGCUAACUUCGU